rnacentral:tRNA from 2 species
AGGAAAAUAGUUCAGUAGGUAGAAUAGUGGUUUCCAAAACCAAAGGCCAGGGGUUCAAGUCCCUUUUUUCCUG